GACGAACGCUGGCGGCGCGCUUAACACAUGCAAGUCGAGCGAGAUCCAGGCCUUCGGGCCUGGGGACAGCGGCGAACGGGUGAGUAACACGUGGGUAAUCAACCCUCGACACUGGGAUAGCCCGGGGAAACCCGGAUUAAUACCGGAUGGCCCUUUGGAUCUUCGGAUCUGACGGGAAAGGUAGCUUCGGCCUCCGGUCGAGGACGAGCCCGCGGCGGAUUAGCUUGUUGGUGAGGUAACGGCUCACCAAGGCGACGAUCCGUAGCUGGUCUGAGAGGACGAUCAGCCACACUGGGACUGAGACACGGCCCAGACUCCUACGGGAGGCAGCAGUGGGGAAUCUUGCGCUAAUGCGGGAAACCGUGACGCAGCGACGCCGCGUGAGGGAAGAAGGCCUUCGGGUUGUAAACCUCUUUCAGGAGGGACGAAGCCACUCGGGUGAAUAGCCCAGAGGGUGACGGUACCUCCAGAAGAAGCCCCGGCUAACUACGUGCCAGCCGCCGCAGUAA
rnacentral:rRNA from 1 species